GGGUGUUUAGCUCAGAUGGUAGAGCAUCGCCCUUACAAGGCGAGGGUCGUAGGUUCGAUCCCUACAACACCCACCA
rnacentral:tRNA from 1 species